GUAAUGGCCUACCAAGGCGGCGACGGGUAGCCGGCCUGAGAGGGUGGACGGCCACAUUGGGACUGAGACACGGCCCAGACUCCUACGGGAGGCAGCAGUGGGGAAUAUUGCACAAUGGGCGGAAGCCUGAUGCAGCGACGCCGCGUGGGGGAUGACGGCCUUCGGGUUGUAAACUCCUAUCACCAUCGACGAAGGUUUUCUGACGGUAGAUGGAGAAGAAGCACCGGCUAACUACGUGCCAGCAGCCGCGGUAAUACGUAGGGUGCGAGCGUUGUCCGGAAUUACUGGGCGUAAAGAGCUCGUAGGUGGUUUGUCGCGUCGUCUGUGAAAUUCCGGGGCUUAACUCCGGGCGUGCAGGCGAUACGGGCAUAACUUGAGUACUGUAGGGGAGACUGGAAUUCCUGGUGUAGCGGUGAAAUGCGCAGAUAUCAGGAGGAACACCGGUGGCGAAGGCGGGUCUCUGGGCAGUAACUGACGCUGAGGAGCGAAAGCAUGGGUAGCGAACAGGAUUAGAUACCCUGGUAGUCCAUGCCGUAAACGGUGGGCGCUAGGUGUAGGGGUC
rnacentral:rRNA from 1 species